rnacentral:rRNA from 1 species
AGAGUUUGAUCAUGGCUCAGAACGAACGCUGGCGGCGCGUCUUAAACAUGCAAGUCGAACGGUAGCUUUGAAGCUUGCUUCAGAGUGAGAGUGGCGAACGGGUGAGUAACACGUGGGUUAUCUGCCUUUGGGAUGGGGACAACAGUUCGAAAGGACUGCUAAUACCGAAUACGAUGUUAGUUAGAAAUAGUUAACAUGAAAGAUGGGGAUCGCAAGACCUAUCACCCAAAGAUGAGCCUGCGGCCCAUUAGCUUGUUGGCGGGGUAAUGGCCCACCAAGGCGACGAUGGGUAGCCGGCCUGAGAGGGUGUACGGCCACAUUGGGACUGAGAUACGGCCCAGACUCCUACGGGAGGCAGCAGUUAAGAAUCUUGCACAAUGGGGGAAACCCUGAUGCAGCGACGCCGCGUGAAUGAUGAAGGUCUUCGGAUCGUAAAGUUCAAUAAGCAGGGAAGAAUAAGCAACGGGUAAUAUUCGUUGUGAUGACGGUACCUGCCUAAAGCCUCGGCUAACUACGUGCCAGCAGCCGCGGUAAUACGUAUGAGGCAAGCGUUGUUCGGAAUUAUUGGGCGUAAAGGGCAUCUAGGCGGGAUGUUAAGUUAGAUGUGAAAUCUCAGGGCUCAACCCUGAAACUGCAUUUAAAACUGGCAUUCUUGAGUUCGGAAGGGGAGAGCGGAAUUCCCGGUGUAGCGGUGAAAUGCGUAGAUAUCGGGAAGAACACCAGUGGCGAAGGCGGCUCUCUGGUCUAGAACUGACGCUGAAGUGCGAAAGCGUGGGGAGCGAACAGGAUUAGAUACCCUGGUAGUCCACGCCGUAAACGUUGUAUACUAGGUGUUAGUGGUUUAACCACUAGUGCCGUCGCAAACGCAUUAAGUAUACCGCCUGGGGAGUACGCCCGCAAGGGUGAAACUCAAAUGAAUUGACGG